AGAGCAAUGUCACAAGGCGUGAUGGGCCAAGGGCAUGCCUGGGAGGCUAAGGGCCGGCAUCGGAUUCCCAAGACAAACCUAGAAUGCAGAGUUUAGCUGCACGACUGGAGUUGUGUCCAUCACUCAGACAGAUCCUCAACUGGAAGCUUUGGAAAAAAUUCAAAACCAAACAAAUGCAGACUGAUGAGCUGACUCAGGAUAAUUAACUUCUUGCUCAAUCCCUCAGCAUUUGACCAAAAUACCAAGAUAAAAAUGUAGGCCCGUGUUAGUACAAAAGGUCCUGCAUUCAACUGUCCUCCUUAUAUUGCCCAAGAAGUCUUGUGGAAUUCCAAGAAGAAUUCAAGGGGCCAGACCUGGAAUAUGCAUCAAUGAGAAUAAGACACUGACGAAGCUAACGACACUAACGGGGAAUGAGGAUAAUCGACUCCUGUCCUUUGUUUUACUCUUUAACCUAGUAAUAAAUCCCUUUAAAGGCCCGUGG
rnacentral:lncRNA from 1 species